AGAGAUUGAUCAUGGCUCAGAACGAACGCUGGCGGCGUGCCUAACACAUGCAAGUCGAGCGCGAACGGAGCAAUCCUAGUAGAGCGGCGCACGGGUGAGUAACACGUGGGUAAUCUGCCUGAAAGUCUGGGACAACCUGCCGAAAGGCUGGCUAAUACCGGAUAAGCUCCCAGGGUCUUCGGACCCCGAGAGAAAAGAUGGCCUCUAUUUAUAAGCUAUCACUUUCAGAUGAGCCCGCGGCCCAUCAGCUAGUUGGCGGGGUAAAAGCCCACCAAGGCUACGACGGGUAGCUGGUCUGAGAGGACGAUCAGCCACACUGGAACUGAGACACGGUCCAGACUCCUACGGGAGGCAGCAGUGGGGAAUCUUGCGCAAUGGACGAAAGUCUGACGCAGCGACGCCGCGUGAGCGAUGAAGGCCUUCGGGUUGUAAAGCUCUGUGGGGAGAGACGAAUAAGGUGCAGCUAAUACCUGCAUCGAUGACGGUAUCUCCUUAGCAAGCACCGGCUAACUCUGUGCUAGCAGCCGCGGUAAUAC
rnacentral:rRNA from 1 species